UAGCUGUAUAAAAUGAUAACACAAUGAAGGCUGAGGAGGAUGAAGCAGGAACUGUCAGGUUAAUGGAGAGUUAGCAAGACACAAUCAUUGCCUACCAAGAAAUAAUUUUAACUUGAAAGUAGCCUGAGCCAGGGUAUGUUGCUUGCUUCAGAGGCUGUAGUUGGUUCCUGCUGAUCAUUUGAGGUUUUUGGAUGAUGCAUUGAAAGGAGGACAGCAGGGAACUGUUACAGCAGUCUAUGCCCAAGACAUGGAAAGCACUAGCAUGCUUGGGCCAUAAGUACUGGCACAAUGUAACAAUAAUAUCUGGAAUGGGCACUUCAGAAGGACAAACACUGGAAGCUGCAGGAGGUGGAAGCAUUAAAAACUGUCAAGUACAGGGCAGACAGGAUAACUUAAUAGGUGAGCUCAGUCCUCUCCGGGGCUGAUAAGUCCUAUCACUCUCCCUUUCUACAGUCACUCCUCCUAAGAGACAUAUAAAUCAUAUCCAAUGACCUAAUAAAAUAAUAAGAUUUGUCUGAGUUCUGACAGCAGAAAAUAAUAGAGGACCUCAAAUUCAGAGGGAGAGAAAUAGGAGGCAUUUUAAAACUGCUGUCUCACCAGAAUAGGGGAAAUCUAGAGAUGGACAAAAAGUUAUCCUCUAUCCACAAGUUGUCAGUUUUCUGAAAAUACGCACAAAUCUGU
rnacentral:lncRNA from 1 species